rnacentral:rRNA from 1 species
GACGAACGCUGGCGGCGUGCUUAACACAUGCAAGUCGAGCGGUAAGGCCCUUUCGGGGGUACACGAGCGGCGAACGGGUGAGUAACACGUGGGUGACCUGCCCUCAGCUCUGGGAUAAGCCUGGGAAACCGGGUCUAAUACCGGAUAUGACUCCAUGACGCAUGUUGUGGGGUGGAAAGCCUUGUGCGGCUGAGGAUGGGCCCGCGGCCUAUCAGCUUGUUGGUGGGGNGAUGGCCUACCAAGGCGACGACGGGUAGCCGGCCUGAGAGGGCGACCGGCCACACUGGGACUGAGACACGGCCCAGACUCCUACGGGAGGCAGCAGUGGGGAAUCUUGCGCAAUGGGCGAAGGCCUGACGCAGCGACGCCGCGUGAGGGAUGACGGCCU